rnacentral:rRNA from 1 species
CGGACGGGUGAGUAACGCGUGAGAAUCUAACUUCAGGACGGGGACAACAGUUGGAAACGACUGCUAAUACCCGAUAUGCCGCGAGGUGAAACCUAAUUGGCCUGAAGAAGAGCUUGCGUCUGAUUAGCUAGUUGGUGGGGUAAGAGCCUACCAAGGCGACGAUCAGUAGCUGGUCUGAGAGGAUGAGCAGCCACACUGGGACUGAGACACGGCCCAGACUCCUACGGGAGGCAGCAGUGGGGAAUUUUCCGCAAUGGGCGAAAGCCUGACGGAGCAACGCCGCGUGAGGGAGGAAGGUCUUUGGAUUGUAAACCUCUUUUCUCAAGGAAGAAGUUCUGACGGUACUUGAGGAAUCAGCCUCGGCUAACUCCGUGCCAGCAGCCGCGGUAAUACGGGGGAGGCAAGCGUUAUCCGGAAUUAUUGGGCGUAAAGCGUCCGCAGGUGGUCAGCCAAGUCUGCUGUCAAAUCAGGUUGCUUAACGACCUAAAGGCGGUGGAAACUGGCAGACUAGAGAGCAGUAGGGGUAGCAGGAAUUCCCAGUGUAGCGGUGAAAUGCGUAGAGAUUGGGAAGAACAUCGGUGGCGAAAGCGUGCUACUGGGCUGUAUCUGACACUCAGGGACGAAAGCUAGGGGA